UGGGGAAUCUUGCGCAAUGGACGAAAGUCUGACGCAGCGACGCCGCGUGGGCGAAGAAGGCCUUCGGGUUGUAAAGCCCUGUGGGAGGGAACGAACCGGGUCGGGGCGAAUACCCCUGAUCCCUGACGGUACCCUUUUAGCAAGCAUCGGCUAACUCUGUGCCAGCAGCCGCGGUAAGACAGAGGAUGCAAACGUUGCUCGGAAUUACUGGGCGUAAAGCGCGUGUAGGCGGUCUUGUAAGUCGGGUGUGAAAUCCCGGGGCUCAACCCCGGAAGCGCACUCGAUACUGCUCGACUUGGGUUCUGAAGAGGAGAGCGGAAUUCCCGGUGUAGAGGUGAAAUUCGUAGAUAUCGGGAGGAACACCAGUGGCGAAGGCGGCUCUCUGGGCAGAUACCGACGCUGAGACGCGAAAGCGUGGGAAGCAAACAGGAUUAGAUACCCGCGUAGUCC
rnacentral:rRNA from 1 species